CUACGGAGGAAAGAGGGGGAUCGUAAGACCUCUUGCUACCGGAGCGGCCGAUAUCAGAUUAGCUGGUUGGUGGGGUAACGGCCUACCAAGGCGGUGAUCUGUAGCUGGUUUGAGAGGACGACCAGCCACACUGGGACUGAGACACGGCCCAGACUCCUACGGGAGGCAGCAGUGGGGAAUUUUCGACAAUGGGGGGAACCCUGAUCGAGCCAUCUCGCGUGUGGGACGAAGGCCUUCGGGUUGUAAACCACUUUUCUCAACGAAGAAAAGUCUUAGGCUAAUACCUUAAGAUGCUGACGGUAGUUGAGGAAUAAGCACCGGCUAACUACGUGCCAGCAGCCGCGGUAAUACGUAGGGUGCGAGCGUUAAUCGGAAUUACUGGGCGUAAAGGGUGCGCAGGCGGCUUGGAAAGAACGGUGUGAAAUCCCGGGGCUCAACCUCGGAACUGCACU
rnacentral:rRNA from 1 species